rnacentral:snRNA from 1 species
GUGCUCGCUUCGACAGGACAUAUACUAAAACUGGAACGAUACAGAGAAGAUUAGCAUGGUCCCUGCACAGAGAUGACACUCAAAUUCGUGAAGUAUUCCAUAAAAAA